CAGCUUAUCUUAACUCUGCGGCCGGUGGAGGUGCUACUCUCGUACCCUGGUGCUUGUGUUAACAGACUGGCGAUCGCGUUAACUAAGUUGUAUCGAGGGAAAAAAAUCAUUUAGAAACAUUUUUAGGAGUUUUUUGGGUGUUUUGUGAACGUUUGAAAAAAUAUAUAUAUAUAUACACCAGUGCCGAUUGAGCGAGUCAGCCAGCCGGGAAUGAGGAAACUUUGUGAUAUAAGCGGGUGGUGGCCAGUGGUGGUGGCCGCGGUACUGGUGGGGGGCGCACCCUGGGCCCUGGCUGUCCCUAAGCUCUACGACGGUGAUGGCUUCUCCAUCUCUCGCCCGUACUCGACUAACGACGUCUACCCAAACGAAUAUGUCUACUCCGAUCCUGAACAGCCAAAGUUCUCCAAGGCUGCGGUUCUCAACAUGUCCCAGAUGACCGACUUGACGGAGUUGAUAAUGGCUUACGCCAAGGAUAAGACGAUCUGCGAGUACCAGUCCCUACGAGACCUCUUCACGGGCCAGGAGACGAGCACCAAGGCCAUUUUGUGGUGGAGUAGAAGAUGCAAUGGACGCCGCGGGAAAACUGUCAAUCAACCUCCAGCCACACGGACAGAAAGUACGUUGCUAAGAUACCGUCGCAAAAGUUCAGACCGUUCGGGUCCGAAACGCAAGAGAAACUCGGACCUGUCAGCUAACGAUCAGAAGAAACUGCAAGCCCUGCUGAGGGACAAAAAGGUUCAGUGCAACCCGAAGAAGGUGGUGGUGGAGCUGCCCAACAGUGAGCCCCACGCGGUCACUCUCAAGCCCUCGUGUGUGUACAUCAAGCAGUGUGGCGGGUGCUGCGACUCUCACUACCUGGAGUGCCGCCCCACGCAAACCAAGAACAAGAGGUUCAAGGUAUUGGCGAUAGAGAAGCGGACGAGCGCUCUGGCAGGACCCCAGAUUUUCCGAACCAUUACUGUCCAGGAACAUAAGAAGUGUAGCUGUGAGUGUAAGGUCCGUGCUGAACACUGCACAGAGAACCAGAAGUAUGAUGCAAACGCCUGUAGCUGCUAUUGCCCUCCUGAGAAACGCAUGAAUUGUCCCAGUGGCAAGGUGUGGGACGAGAAGCAGUGUGGGUGUGUGUGCAGUGAUGUGUCUGACUGUACCACUGGCAGGGUCUUCGACCACAGCACCUGCAGGUGUGCAGAUCCUCGCGUAUAAAGACCUUUGCCACUUCUAACCCAGAGUCAAAGACAGUGAGACAGCUCUCAGUGACUCAGCCGCAACUGACACACUCACUCACUCACUAACUCACUCACUCAUUCGACUGUUUUGUCAGUGCUAAUUGACGACUGGAGAACCCUCAACAAAAACUUCUGCCUCAGACUUCUUCAGUAACGGACUUGACAGAAUCUCACAGUACUAUCUUCGCCGGCAAAACAUUCCAGUGAACAUGGACACUCUGGAAAGAGUUCUUCCAAGUGUUGUAUCUUGUUCCACUUUCUCGUGUUCGAUGUCUGAGGAAUUGAAUCGUAUUCCAGACCUCCGUGUGGAUGAACCUCCAGAUCUCGUCGCUCUCUUCCAUGGCCACAACACUACUACCCACAGAAGAUGAGCCACAUUUGUUUUAAACCAUCACUUAAGAGAACUUUUAGUGUGAGAAACAACCCCGAAACCACAGGAUGACCCCUCGAUGGAAUUAUAUUAAACUAAUGUCCCUACUGUGGAAAAUAUGGAAGAUAUUGGAAUCUAUAAAUAUUGAUUAAAAUGUUAGUAUGUCUUGUGUAUUGCACUAUUAUAUUCCUUACAGCUGUGAUUAAUUAGGUAAUAGGUUAUUUUAAGUUAUAAGAAGAGCCCGCUUGCUCGGCGGGAAAGCUGUAAAGUACAUUACUUUUGUGUGUUGAAUCAUUUAUUUUUUUCCCUAAAACUUGUAAUUUUCUUUAGUUUUCAUUAACAACUGGGUAAAGGUUGUGGCAGAUGGGGGCCAAUGAACAUGUAGUAACUGACUCUCUCACUGUUACAAGUACUAGUUCGGAGACCACAAUCGACUUGAGAAUGCUUCAGGACGGACCGAAACGUCGUCGUCUCUUCACCUUCUAGUGUGUGGUCUGGUCAACAUACUUUAGCCACGUUAUUGUGACUCUUCGCCUGCAUACUAGUUCGGACUUGCUCACUGCCACAAGCCUCCACCCAUGUGUGUAUACGGACUUCUCCUCCACUUUCGCCUGGCCAUCAAUAAAGUAUUUAUUGCUGAACACAAAUUGAUUACUAAACUGAAUAAGUGUAAGUGAAUCUUUUAUAGUAGUAUUUAAAUAUAUUUAUUGUAAUGUAUUUUUAUAUGUAGAAAUUUUGUUCAAGCUAAAACUUGAGUGAGGAAUCUUAGAUGUGUAACUGAUGGAUCGAGAUGUAUAACGUGGGAAUAUAUAUGUGCAAGUGAGGGAGGCGGGGGCCAAUACUCACCUAGUUGACGAGUAUUCGCAGUGUCUGGGAUGCUCCCGGACGCAAGUUCGAAUCCUCGUCACGGCCCUUGUGGAUUUGUUGAGCUUGCAAAGCAGGAUCUGCUCCUUGGUCCCGCCUCUCUACCAUCAAUCAAUUUGAAGGUGUAUUAAUGUAUGUAUGAGUGAAGAAUAGAGAUAUCUUGGAGAGGGAAAGUGUUGUGUUGCUAGUCAGUAGGAUACAGGUAAUAAUUUGAGAUUAAUGCACACAUAUUUCAAAUGAAGCCAUAUUAAAUAUUAUAAAGGAUGA
rnacentral:misc_RNA from 1 species